UUUAUUYCUAAGGAUUAUAUAUAAAAUUAAAAAAUUUGGCGGCUAUUAAAUAUUAAAGGGGUUUGCUUUUAAUCGAUUUGCCACGUUUUUUUUUAUUUGUUAUUAUUUUGUAUACCAUCAUUUAGAUAAUUUUAACAGAGUUAAAUAUGGAUUUAAUUUUAGUAAUUUUAGAUCAAGGUGCAGAAAUUAAUAAGAUCUAGUUAAUGACAAUAAUUAGUAUUAGACAGGAUAGGCGUAAAUAAAUUGAAUAGGUGGAUUUAAAUGUAAUAGUAUAAAAUAUUUGAAAUUACUAUAUAGUGUACAAAUUGCCCGUCAUUCUC
rnacentral:rRNA from 1 species